UACGGGGGGAGCAAGCGUUGUUCGGAAUGACUGGCGUAAAGGGCGCGUAGGCGGCUCAUACAGUCAGAUGUGAAAUUCCUGGGCUUAACCGGGGGGGCUGACAUUUGAUACGUGUGGGCUUGAGUGGGGGAAGAGGGUCGUGGAAUUCCCAGUGGUAGAGGUGAAAUUCGUAGAUAUUGGGAAGAACACCGGUGGCGAAGGCGGCGACCUGGUCCUUGACUGACGCUGAGGCGCGAAAGCGUGGGGAGCAAAGCAGG
rnacentral:rRNA from 1 species